rnacentral:rRNA from 1 species
GAUGAACGCUGGCGGCGUGCCUAAUACAUGCAAGUCGAGCGAAUGGAUUAAGAGCUUGCUCUUAUGAAGUUAGCGGCGGACGGGUGAGUAACACGUGGGUAACCUGCCCAUAAGACUGGGAUAACUCCGGGAAACCGGGGCUAAUACCGGAUAAUAUUUUGAACUGCAUGGUUCAAAAUUGAAAGGCGGCUUCGGCUGUCACUUAUGGAUGGACCCGCGUCGCAUUCGCUAGUUGGUGAGGUAACGGCUCACCAAGGCACCGAUGCGUAGCCGACCUGAGAGGGUGAUCGGCCACACUGGGACUGAGACACGGCCCAGACUCCUACGGGAGGCAGCAGUAGGGAAUCUUCCGCAAUGGACGAAAGUCUGACGGAGCAACGCCGCGUGAGUGAUGAAGGCUUUCGGGUCGUAAACUCUGUUGUUAGGGAAGAACAAGUGCUAGUUGAAUAAGCUGGCACCUUGACGGUACCUAACCAGAAAGCCUCGGCUAACUCCGUGCCAGCCGCCGCGGUAA